GGCAGGGAUGGAUUCAGGCAGAGUGAUCCAAACACAAGUUGGGAUCUCCAGGAACCAAUGCCCAGCUGUUCCCAUGACUGGACCAUCUUACGGUCAUGCCUAUCAGAAACACCUGCCUGGCAUGGGGAUAAAAGGGAGAGAAACCAGGAUGGGAAUCCCCCUCAAGGCCCACAGCCAUACUUGGAACUGCUAAGCUGCCCUGCUUGAGUCACAAGUGGGAGGAGUGGGAUGGUGACCUGAGUAAGGACUCACAGUACUGCCUGGAUUCCUGCAGAGCAUACACAGAUUUGUCUGUACAAGCAAAGCAGGCCAUGUGGACCUGCCCUGGGCUCCUCUUAUCCUGUGGCUGACCUCAACCUCUCUUUGCUCUUUUGAAACAGGGUCUUUCUAUAAAGACCAGGCUAGCUUUGUGCUCACAAUCCUCUCAGAUUCUAGAGUGCUGGGAUAACAGGGGAUGUUGAGGCUGCCAAGUGAAGCAAGCGCGCCCAGGAAGGCAGCCACAUCGGUGGCACUCUGGAAACACUAGGCCUCCAUGCUGGCACAGGAGGGCGACAUCGAUGCCUGCGGGCACAGGAAUGAGAAGGAGCUGGGACUUGGGCUGCAACGUCCAGGACUACCUGCCCACGUCCUCCCGACUUGGCAGGCACCAGGGCGAUCCUGGCCGGGGUUGAGCCAGGGCAAGGAGGGAUGGGCGGGGCC